CGUGCCCUACUCCUCCCUAAUCGCCGAACCCUUGCUCACCUUAUCUCGUCGCCGCCCCGAUUAUUCCUCAUCUCUCGCGUCGUUUACUCUCUGCUCUUCUUCUUCUCCUCAUCUUCUCCAACCGGCACCCCUUUUUCUUCUUCUGCGUCAUCUUCCCUCCUCUGCCAUCGUCUCCUCGUCGCGGAGGUCCUCACAGCGCCGAUUGUCACGAGAGCACCGCCGACAGCAGUCCUUCUCUCCACGACCCUCACCAACACCAAGCUCUCUGGGCUAUCAGGCGGCCCGAUCCUCUUCUACAUUUUCCCCUUGCAUCUCUGCCCUAGAUGCAACCGGCGUCAUCGCAUCCAACCACAAUACCUGCAAUUUGGGUGGCUAGCGUCGCCGCCAUCUCUUUCACCGGCUGCCACUUCUUCCUCUUCCAUCUGCCACCGUCAGAGAGCUAAGUACACAGGAGAGUAGGGUUGUUCUUCCGUGUAUCAGCAGUUGCAAGGGGUUACCACGCGUUGCCCCCUUCAAUUGUGCCGUGGCCAUCUGGUCAGCCACAAGGAGAUCCAUUGCUGCGGUGACCCCAUUUGUGCCUAGAUUUGUGCCAAUGUUGUGUAUCAGUGAAUUCUGAGGCAGUGAGGGUUGUUGGACAGAUUUACCAUCGUCGGAAGAGCCACAAACUGCUAAUAAGGAUUUUCUCAAUAAAAUUGGUUGGUUCAUUAAUCUGUACAAGAGAAGCAAUUUAUCUCAUGAAAUUCGAAGACAGGGAGAGCAAUGAAGGCAUGGAUGCUAUUAGCUCGAGGAUGGAGGAA